AGCGGAGGAAAAGAAACCAACAGGGAUUGCCCUAGUAACGGCGAGUGAAGCGGCAACAGCUCAAAUUUGAAAUCUGGCGUCUUUGGCGUCCGAGUUGUAAUUUGCAGAGGGCGCUUUGGCAUUGGCAGCGGUCCAAGUUCCUUGGAACAGGACGUCACAGAGGGUGAGAAUCCCGUACGUGGUCGCUAGCCUUUACCGUGUAAAGCCCCUUCGACGAGUCGAGUUGUUUGGGAAUGCAGCUCUAAAUGGGAGGUAAAUUUCUUCUAAAGCUAAAUACUGGCCAGAGACCGAUAGCGCACAAGUAGAGUGAUCGAAAGAUGAAAAGCACUUUGGAAAGAGAGUUAAAAAGCACGUGAAAUUGUUGAAAGGGAAGCGCUUGCAGCCAGACUUGCCUGUAGUUGCUCAUCCGGGUUUUUACCCGGUGCACUCUUCUAUAGGCAGGCCAGCAUCAGUUUGGGCGGUUGGAUAAAGGUCUCUGUCAUGUACCUCUCUUCGGGGAGAACUUAUAGGGGAGACGACAUGCAACCAGCCUGGACUGAGGUCCGCGCAUCUGCUAGGAUGCUGGCGUAAUGGCUGUAAGCGGCCCGUC
rnacentral:rRNA from 1 species